rnacentral:rRNA from 1 species
CCCUUAGAUGUUCUGGGCCGCACGCGCGCUACACUGACACAGGCAACGAGCUUUCCUUUACCGAAAGGUAUGGGUAAUCUUUUGAAACUGUGUCGUGCUGGGGAUAGAUCCUUGCAAUUUUUGAUCUUAAACGAGGAAUUCCUAGUAAGCGCGAGUCAUCAACUCGCGUUGAUUACGUCCCUGCCCUUUGUACACACCGCCCGUCGCUACUACCGAUUGAAUGUUCUGGUGAGCUCUUCGGACUGCGCGGUCUGCAGUUUCUGCGUUCCGUGCGGAAAGUUGCGCAAACCUUAACAUUUAGAGGAAGGAGAAGUCGUAACA